rnacentral:lncRNA from 1 species
AGGAAUCCACCAGGAAAACAAAGCACUCUGGUACUUCAACGGAGAAUUUAGAUAAAUACGUGGUUAAAUGAACAUUGAAGAAGGAAAGCAGCAACAAAGAAGCUCUCAGACGAACAGACAGGACAGAGUCAGAGUGCUCUUAUAAUGGUGCUCUAAAGCUGCUUUGAAUUUCCAAACCACUUUAAUUGCACUUUGAGUAUCUAAGCAAACCUGAUCUCC